CCCGCACAAGCGGUGGAGCAUGUGGUUUAAUUCGACGCAACGCGCAGAACCUUACCUGGGCUUGACAUCUGCGGAAUCUUCGUGAAAGCGAGGAGUGCCUUCGGGAGCCGCAAGACAGGUGGUGCAUGGUUGUCGUCAGCUCGUGUCGUGAGAUGUUGGGUUAAGUCCCGCAACGAGCGCAACCCUCGCCUCUAGUUGCCAGCAUUCGGUUGGGCACUCUAGAGGGACUGCCGGCGACAAGUCGGAGGAAGUGGGGAUGACGUCAAAUCAUCAUGCCCCUUAUGUUCUGGGCUACACACGUGCUACAAUGGCCGGUACAGACGGAGGCGAAGCCGCGAGGCGGAGCAAAACCGAAAAAGCCGGUCUCAGUUCGGAUUGCAGGCUGCAAUUCGCCUGCAUGAAGUCGGAAUCGCUAGUAAUCGCAGGUCAGCAUACUGCGGUGAAUACGUUCCCGGGCCUU
rnacentral:rRNA from 1 species